rnacentral:lncRNA from 1 species
UCAGAAACCCAGGGACGAACUCUCAUUCUUUCAAAACCCUAACUCCUCUAAAUUCACUCAAAAUUCAAGAAAUAAAACCCAAUUGAAGGUGAAUCAAGGCUGAAUUUGUGAUCCUCAUACUUAGUAGGUCACAAGGGUAUAUGGGUUUUUGUGAUUUGGGUGGAUCAUCAAGUGGACAAGGCGGGUCGGAUAACCGCUUAAAAGGAAAGCUUUGAAAAGGUGAUGGUAGCGAAUCGCGAAUGAUGAUCAAGUACCCGAAAGGAUCGAACACACAAAUGUCAAAGCUUCCGCAAUUAUAAUAGUCCUUUUGAAACGAAACUUAUGUGUAAUAAGUAGAAGUAGUUUUGUUGAAAAUAUUUAAAAUCCAUGUAAAUUAUCGUUUUGUGGAUAUU